rnacentral:misc_RNA from 1 species
UUAACUUGUUUGUUUGUACUCGAGAUGCCAACGCAAAGAGACAGAGUAUAGUAGGCUGCCGGCGGGCUUAGCGCCCCGGGGAGGGAGAACCUUCUCCGAGACACCCGCCGAAGCAACGUGCUUAUAGUUAAGUUCACAGGGUUGUAGGAGUCUUGCGAGUCCUGUAAUGAUCCCUCCGCUGGUUCACCAACGGAGA